AAGGGUGGGCUAGGUGCCAAGUGCAGAGGGGAUUUCCAAGGCAGAGCUAGAUGAUGGGCGUAUUCUGGUGACGUAAUUUUCAGGCGGGGAGAGGGAUUGGCAUGUCUGAGCUCCCGGCGAGGCAACUAGCUCCCAAACUGCUGAGAUUACAGGAAUGAACCACCGUGCAUGGCUGAUUGUAUGUAUUUUAAGAAGGACGGAAGUUACAGGCAAACCUCAGCCAGUACACGUAGGAUGUACAUUGGUUCAGUCUGGAAAGGAGGAACAACUCAAAGCAGGGGUUUCCAGUAGAGUCUUCCUUCUACAAGAUACCAUGAAGGACCAAAGAAAAGUAAAAUUUUCAUCUUCAAAAUGAGCUUUCAUCAAAGAAAAAGGAAGAAAGAUGGCUCUAAGGAAGAAAUUAAUGGUGGCAAUGUGUGAAGAGGGGUACAAAGAACAGUGGCACGGGUAUGAUACAAAGAACAGUGGCACGGUGAAUUUAUGAAAAUAACAACACCAGUGCAUCACCAUUGUAGAAAAUGAGAAGAAGACUAACGAGUGCAAAGGAGAAAAGAACACUCAUAGAUAAUCCCACUAUAUACAUAUAAUCACCAUUAAUAUUUCAUUCAGCAAUUCCUGGGAAUGCCUACUGCAUACAGUCUACUCUGCUGGCAGUAUAAAUACAGAAGUGACUAAUACAUACUAUCUGUUCUCAAAGUAGGGCAGAAAAAAGGGAUUUUGCCAGCCUUAUGUAAUGUACAGAUUCAGAAUUCAUCUUAUAUUCUUCAUGCUGUUUUAAGUCUUUUGUAUAAAGCUUAAUAUUAACAUUGUAUGAUAGGAGAGCCCUUCUGCCUGGUCUUUUGCUCUUAGGAAAGUGAAAGCAUAUUACCUAACCAGGGCACCUCAGGAGGUGGGUGGUCUGAGGUGAAGUUUACUGUGAACACCUUUGCCCUGCCCCACAAGCCUGGUACAUCUCAUCUGGGUUCAUCUUUUAAGAUGUCAAAGUACUCGGCAAUGUUUUACAGUAUUUGCCACUAAAAGUGUGUCAUGUAAAUCAAUCAUGGCUUCAAUUUUCCUGUCAGAAUUCAGUAACCUUAAACUGAAGCUUUUAGAAUUAAUCAAAAGAGUAACUCAAUUUAAUUUUUCAUGAGACAGUAACAGUAUGGGGCUUAUCUUCAACUGUUUGAAUUAUAAACAUUUAUUAAUAAAUAUUGUUUAAUAAAUUUUUACGGAAAGAGUUUAAAAGGUGGAUUUUUUUUUAAAAUCUAGUCUUAUUUUUUGCAUAAAUAGCCAGCUGCUUUCCUUUUUCCGCCUGAAGGUGAAGAGAAUUGCACCUCUCUUCAAUGGAAAAUCAGAGUGUCUUCAAUUGAAUAGAUAAUUUAUUCGGUUGUAUUAUUUAAAGACAAACUGCCUACUUAAACUGUUAAUCUUAUGGCAAUGGGCACAGAUCUCCAUAGCCCAGUGUCUAGCAUAUUCUAGGUGCUCAAAAAUUAUUUAGUAAAUAAAUAAAUAUCUGUGUAUAAGAGUAAGGGAGCUAGGCAGAAGGUUUGUCUUGAUUAGUCAUUGCCAUAUAAACAGAAGAAAAAUAGGAAAUAAAGCUGUAAUCUUCCAGGAAGUCUCAAAAAAAUAGUCUUAUCAUUUAGGCAGCCAUUACAAGCUCAUUGAUAAUGUCUUAUAAUCUUAGAAACUAAACAGCAGAAGCGAUAUUUUCCUUUACCACUCCUUUCUUUAUUUUAUAAACCACUUUAUUGAGGAAUGAUUGGCAUAUAAAAGCUGUGCACAUUUAAUAUAUACAUCUUGAUGAGUUUGGGGAUAAGCAUCUACCCAGGAAACUGUCAAUAGCAUCAAGGCCAUAGACAUAUCUAUCACCUUCCAAAGUCUUCUCCCCCUUGAUUAUUAUUGCUGUUUUGUUUUGAUAAAAACACUUAAGACAAGUUCUACCCUCUUAGCAAAUUGUGACUAUACAAUUCAGUACUCUUAGCUAUAGGCACUAUACUGUUCCGGGUGUACAGUAUAUCUCCAGAACUUAUUUAUCACAAAAUUUUCCCAUUUCCAUACAAAACACACAAAAAGUUAUAAAUUCUCAAAGCUUCCCAUCCCACAUUCUUGAUAUAUCCCUGGGGAAAAUUCAUUCAUUUAUUCAUCUAACUAUCUAUGCACACAGUCCACACAUAUUUGUAGAGCAGCUAUUCUCUGCCACAACUUUGACUAGGGAUUGGGAAUACAGACCAGUAAGAAGCAGUUAGUUGUGCUUGCUUUGGAAGCACAUAUGCUAAAAUUGGAAUGACACAGAAAAGAUUAGCAGGGCCCCUGUAAAAAAAAAAAAAGAAAGAAGAAGCAGUUAGUAUUUGUCUUCAAAGAGCUCACAGUCUAAUGGGAAAGAAGGACAUAAAGAGAUAGUUAAAACACCACCAGUUACAGAAAUAACUACUGUUAUUGCAGGCACAUAGAGUAGGGGCUGGCACAAACUUGGGGAGCAAGAAAAAAAAUUAUGAGAAGGCUUCCUGGAGAAGCUAUGCCUGAGCUUAAUUUUAAAGGGUAGUAGGAUGAAGCUACAAGUUGGGAGUAUUCAGGGCCUUUCUAUGCAGAGAAAACCACACAAGGAGUGCAAUGUGGAUAGAGAACAUGUGAGGGUUACCAGGGAGCCCAGAGAUACAAAGCCAGGGAAGUGACAGAAGCUGGAUUGCAAAGGGACUUGUUAAUUGAAAAUUAUUUGAAAACAUCAGUU